GCGGCGUUCCCACUUGUGGCGGCCGACGCGACGUCCGCCGGCCGGCCCGUGAGUCAGUGCGAACUGGAAGACGUGCUGGAACAGACGUGCGCCGCUCCGAGGAGACGGUCGAGGUGGCGAACAGACAGGUGUGCCGACGCGGCGCACGGUGCUCAUAGACCGGUGGGUGGUAGGCUUGGAUGGAUGUGUGUGUCGGGUUAAGUGCUGUGAAGCUCAGACUUUGAGCUGGCUGGUGAUUAGUUUGCUGUGGUGAAGUCGGACGGGAAAAUGUGUGAUAUUAAGGAACGAAGGUAUUGUGCAGAAACUACAGGACUGGGUGGCAGGGCGACGCUGCACGUGACCUCUCCACAGUGACCUCUGCUCAAGGUCGAGCCGUCACCUGACCGCCAGGUCACACGUCCUGACGGGGGUCUCUCACAUCGCGACCUGACCCAGCGGCGGCGGGAGUGUGACCUGUCGGUCGCGCAGGUCAUCCUGACCCGACCGCGGCCGGUGGGUGCAAUCUGCAGCAGCCGGGCGGUCGGCUCCGCCGUGGAGUCGGGUGGCUGCUCGGGUGACCCAGCUUGAGAGCCCGCGGGCCAGGGUUACGCGCGGUCUGACCCCAGGGUGCAGAACCGGUGUCGGCGAGGUCAGCUUACCACGAUUGACUGCAGCUGCAGUGCCGCCGGCCGAGGCUCCGCCUCACUUCAUUCAGGCUGACCAUGCAGCUGAAAAAUGACAACAUAUCCCAGGCACAUCAUAAUGCUGAGGUCUCUGCCGCGUCAGCCGCCUCGAGUGUCCCGCUGCCGCCGCAGACGGCCCAGGUGGAAGUCCCUCCCCUGCCGCCGCG